CCAGAGAUGGCGGGCCACCGCGCCCCCGUCCCCAACCCUUUGUCGAUGAAAAACCUUUUGCCUCGGGGGCAGAGCGGCCCUCGCGUCGCCGCCCCCGGAGGACCACCAAACUCUGUCUCUAUACGUCGGAGUCUUUGAUGAAUCAAUCA
rnacentral:misc_RNA from 1 species